AUUGAACGCUGGCGGCAUGCCUUACACAUGCAAGUCGAACGGCAGCACGGGGGCAACCCUGGUGGCGAGUGGCGAACGGGUGAGUAAUACAUCGGAACGUGCUCAGUAGUGGGGGAUAGCCCGGCGAAAGCCGGAUUAAUACCGCAUACGACCUACGGGUGAAAGCGGGGGAUCGCAAGACCUCGCGCUAUUGGAGCGGCCGAUGUCAGAUUAGGUUGUUGCUGAGGUAAAGGCUCACCAAGCCGACGAUCUGUAGCUGGUCUGAGAGGACGACGAGCCACAGUGGGACUGAGACACGGCCCAGACUCCUACAGGAGGCAGCAGUGGGGAAUUUUGGACAAUGGGGGCAACCCUGAUCCAGCCAUGCCGCGUGCGGGAAGAAGGCCUCCGGGUUGUAAACCGCUUUUGUCAGGGAAGAAAUCUUCUGAGUUAAUACCUCGGGAGGAUGACGGUACCUGAAGAAUAAGCACCGGCUAACUACGUGCCAGCAGCCGCCGUAA
rnacentral:rRNA from 1 species